CCCUUGGUAGUCUAGUUGGUUAUGGCGUUCGGCUGUAAUUGUAAUCAUGAUUGUUACCGAAAAGUCACCGGUUCGAUUCCGGUCCGAGGGA
rnacentral:tRNA from 1 species